rnacentral:sRNA from 1 species
GGAUGUGAGGGCGAUCUGGCUGAAACAUCUGUCACCCCAUUGAUCACCAUGGUUGAUUCGGCUGAUCUGGCUGACUAGGCAGGUGUCCCCUUCCUCCCUCACUGUCCCAUGUGCAUCCCUCCCCAAGUUGCACACUUGGUCAAAGAGGAUAACCAACCCCAAAAGAGAAGGACUAUAACCGGAAAUGGGAGCUCCCAUUAUGGAAUCCUAUGAAGGGGGCUGUUUGAGGGCCUACACAGUUGAAAAGAGAUGUAUUAAAUUCAAUCCUUU